rnacentral:rRNA from 1 species
CUAACGAGGAUUUCCUUAGUAACGGCGAGUGAAAAGGAAUAAGCCCAGCGCUGAAUCUAUCUGGCUGCUUGUUGGAUGGAAAUGUAGCGUAUAGGUGGAACUAUCCGUCGAUUUCUUACACCCAAAGUCCCCUUGAGCGGGGCUACAGUCCAUAGAAGGUGCUAGACCUGUACGGGUGAGGAAAGCGUAUGCGGUAGGUUUUACCUUGGAGUCGGGUUGUUUGAGAUUGCAGCCCAAAGAGGGUGGUAAACCUCAUCUAAGGCUAAAUACGGCCACGAGACCGAUAGCAAACAAGUACCGUGAGGGAAAGUUGCAAAGAACUUUGAAGAGAGAGUUCAAGAGGGCGUGAAACCGCUGGGAUGGAAACGGAUAGAGUUAACGAAACUUGCCGAUAUUCAACCGAUCAAUUUGGCAAUCCUACGGUUUGGUACUACCUUUUUGAUGAGCUAAUUAUUUGGAAGGGGCUGAAACGUGGGUGAAUGGUGCCGAAUAAGGUGGUAUAUCACCACCGUGAUUGGUGUAUUUAUCGGUGGUAUGCACCGAGAGUUCCGUCUUUACGCUGAUUAGGCAUUGGUUCAGUGGACCCUGGCAAUAAUUGACAGGGAAACCUGGAUGAAUGUGUAGUAAAAUAUCAUGUCGUCGAUGGAAUGUUUUGGAGCCCGUGCAACAUCGUUGAUCUUUUCAACGCAUGCAUCGGUUACCCUUUCAUUGGUGGCAUUUUGUUGUGGUCGCGUGCGACUUACGCUGAAUGGUGCGUGGAUGAAAUGGUGACAUGAUGACGAAAGGGUUGCAUCUCGGUGUGAACGUUAAUCACCUAUCUGACCCGUCUUGAAACACGGACCAAGGAGU